rnacentral:rRNA from 1 species
GACGGAGGAUGCAAGUGUUAUCCGGAAUCACUGGGCGUAAAGCGUCUGUAGGUGGUUUAAUAAGUCAACUGUUAAAUCUUGAGGCUCAACCUCAAAAUCGCAGUCGAAACUAUUAGGCUAGAGUAUAGUAGGGGUAAAGGGAAUUUCCAGUGGAGCGGUGGAAAUGCGUAGAGAUUGGAAAGAACACCGAUGGCGAAGGCACUUUACUGGGCUAUUACUAACACUCAGAGACGAAAGCUAGGGUAGCAAAUGG